ensembl:miRNA
UGAGGCAGGAGAAUUGCUUGAACCCAGGAGGUGGAGGUUGCAGUGAGCCGAGAUCAUGCCACUGCACUCCAGCCUGGGUGACAGAGCGAGACUCC